ACCGUCGGGUCAGCCGACGGCAAUAAUACAUUUUUUUCCUUUUUGUUUUUUAGAAUUAAAUUUACCGUCGGCUCUGUAUUUUUACCGAUGGAUAAUCCGUCGGUAAAUUCUUUGUUAAGUUUCUUGUGCAUCGUCCUUUUCCUAUCCUCUCAUUUCCCCUUAUCUUCAAUUCCCUUAAACCUUCACCAUCUCUCUUAUUUCACCCGCCUCCACAUCUUAUUUUCUCUCCACUCUCUUCACUCUCUUCUCACCCUCUUUCUUUUUUGGAAAAAUUGAUGAUGGGAAUAAUCCUACCUUUGGGUGACCUUCUUAAAACAGUCCCACUCUUGAGUUAACUCAAUAAAAUCCCACCUUUUUGUCUUAUCUUCUUAGACUGGACCUUCACCUGUUGGUAACCUACAAUUGCAAGUUAACUCAAUUUUAAUUUUAAUUAACCUAAAUAAAAUGAAUCUAACAACCAACCAUUAAUCUAAAAACUUCCGACCCCGACCAACAAUACCUCUACAGGGAACACCACAACCGCCAACACCACCACCACCCGUCUCUGUCUCGACCACCAACAAACCACCUUCCACAAAUCAACACCAAACCCACCCUAGCUCCGUCCCCACUAACCAUAAUCCACCUUGCGAGGCCGAAUUGUCGACUAUUCUGCGACUGUGAAGGUGUCGAAAGACUCACUCAUUCAUCUCGAUCUCCUCUCUCCUCCUCAAUUUAUGUUGUGUGUGUUUUAUCUGAACCUGGUUGUUUGUUGUUAUGUGUUUAAUUUAUGUUUUUGAGAUUAAAUCUGUCAUUCGAUCAAUUUGAUUGCUUUUCUGGUGAAUACAAACUGAUUUACCUCUGUAACCCAGAUGAGAUAGCUUCCCUCUGAUUAUUAAAUAUAAAACAGUAACGAAUUAAACUAAACAAACAAAUUAACACAUUAAGAUCUUAUCAAAAUAUUUAGUCUGAAUUAACAAGUGUUUUAGAUGAUUCAUGGCAAUGUGAAUUCGAGAAUUUCUUCGCAUGUUUUGUGCCGCACGAGUUCGAAGGAUAAUCCUUCUGAGAGGUUGUUUUCGUCCAGCAUUGAUAGAUCGGUUUCGGAUGGGAUCUUUAUCAAUUGAAUCGAAAGGUUGUGCUAGAAUUAGUUGGGGUCCCGGGGAGGUAAGAAGGGAUGAUGUGCCAUGGUUUGGAGGAGGAGAGAGAAAGUUGUUGAGGAGGAAUGAUGGUGAUGUGGAGAGGAUGGGGUUUGAAGGAAAGAGGAUAGAAGUGGUGGAACCGUGUAAGUGUUGGGUGAAGGAGAGGAUCAUGAAGUACGGUUGAAGUUGAACGUGAAGAGGAGUUAUUUGUGGGUGAGGUCAGAGCCCAAAGAUGGUGAUAGUGUACCCGCCAUUGAUGAAGAGGAGGAAAGAGAAAAAAAAAGACAUAUUAUAAGAGCUUCCAGAGAGAUGGAGAGAAGAGAAGAUGAACAAAGGGAGUUAAUGUUUAGUAGAGAUGGUCUGCACUUUUUUUUAUUUAUUUAAGACAUUAUUAAUGCAAGUUAGAUGAAAAAGUAAAACUUACUAAUGUUUAGCAGGUUAUCAAUAGUUAACUAGUUAAUGGAGACCAUUUUAAGAAGAUAAGACAAAAAGGUGGAAUUUUAUUAAGUUAACUAAAAAAUGGGACUGUUUUAAGAAGACCACCCAAAGGUGGAAUUAUUCCCAUUAAUUUUAUCUUCUUUUUUUCAUCUUCAAUUCUUCAACCUCAAAACCUCAAUUCUCAUCAUCUCAAAUUAACAAGUAAGUAUUCUCUCCUUUUUUUUGUUUUUCUUUUUUUCUGGUUUUAUUUUUUUCUUUUUUGUUUUUUUCCUAUUUCAUUUUCUCUUCUUGUUUGAAAUUUAACCCCAAAUUAACAAGUAAGUUAUUUUAGGUGGGAUUAUUUCCUUUUUUGUUGAUUUUCCCUUCUUGUUUUUAGGCUUUUUUCUUUGAAUUUGCGUUUUUUAUUCGGAAUUUAGAGGGUUUUUGUUUGAAAUUUAACCCCAAAUUUCAUGAAAUGUGAGGUUGGAUUUUUGAGUAAAUUUGGGGUUAAAAAAUGCUGAUAUUGGUGGCGGGGUGCUGGUUGUGGGUUGAGAAUUGCGGUUUGGGAGUUGGGCUGGGUUGGGGUUGUGCGAUUGUGCGGGGUUGGGGUUGGGGUAGGGUUGCUGGUUGUGGGUAUGGUUGUUCAGGGUUUUUACGUGGAUGGGUUCGUGGGUGGUUUGGGUUUUUGGGUGGGUGGAUUCGUGGGUGGGUUCGUGUGUGGGUGAGGUUAAUUUUGUUUUUAAUUUGAUUUUUUUUGGGUUAAUUUUGUCAGAUUUGUUUUUAAUUUGAUUUUCUUUGGUUAAUUUUGGUUUAAUUGUCAAAUUUAUUAUGCUAUUCCAUUUUUCAGAUUUAUUAUCAUAGUUUAUUUUAUUUAAUUUAAUUAUUAUCGUCAUUUUUUGUAUGCAUUUGGUGUGUAAUUUAUUUUGAUUCAGUUAUUGUAUAGUUUAUGUUCAUUUAAUUUCUUAUAUGUGUCUUUUUUUUUUUUUGAUGUUCUUGGUUGCAGAAUUUGAUUCCACAAGAUUGAAGAUCUAGAAAUUUAGUUAUUUUAUUUAGAAAUUUUUUAAUUUUUUGUUUCAGAUUUAUCAUAUUUUAAUUGUAUUAGUUGUAUUUGAUUUUAAGUAUAUCAGAAUUUUUUUAUUAGAUUUAUCAAAGUUAUUGUAUUCUUUUUGGAAGCACAUAUGUAAUAUUUUACAAAUUAAAAAAUGAAAUGUUUAUUUUUAUUA